UAAUGUUUCAAAAUUAAUAGUGUAAAAGUACAAAAUUGUGAACGUUACUUAAAAUAUAUACACAACGAGCUGUGUGGACACUACAAGCUAAUGAAUAAUAAUGUCUAUGGACAUUAUGUAUUAUUCAAUGUUCAAUGACUAAACUAAAUCCAUCUAAGUUACCUGACUUGUCGAAUUACCACUUCUGAAGAAGCCGGAAAUUAGUCUGUUUCUCUAACCACUCCGCCUGAAUUUUAUUAUCAGAGAGGAUUACAUGGGUUACAUGUUAGAGUCGCCUCACUCGAAUGGAGAUAAUGGAGACAUCUAAAGCAAAUCGAAGUGAUAUAAAUUCUAAUGCUAUACCUAAAUAGAAAAAUAUUUUACUAGACUUGGACUCAUAAUCAUAUUGGAUUUGAUAAAAAAAAAACAAAAAAUAAACACUCAUAUUUAAACGAUGAUGUUAAAAGGAACUAUCCGCGCUGCACAGAAAUGACGAGCUUAACCGUUACAAGGUUUACGUUAAUAAAAUUCUCAAGUGAACUGUGAGCUGUGAACUGGCGAAAUAAAUGACUUCUUCAUGACAUUAUGGUAAUUGCUUCUAACUUAUCGUAGUUUUGUGAGUUAUUAUCAAAAUCCAUAUGGUUUAUUUAAUUGACGAACAUUAAAGGAUCUUACAUGGAAGCUUAUAACAGCCGAUAUCGAUAAUUCCAGAUGAUGAAUCGAACGUGUGACCGACCACCCACGCGUUUGGACUAAUAUCUAUGUAUGAUCAAACUUACCCUGAUGAAUCCUUAUUAAUCAACGGAGCAUUUUGACUAGUUUUCGUAUGUUUAUUUGCAGACCACAAAUCACAAAUAACAAAUCUCGAACACGAAUUGCAAAUAUAAUUUUUGAGGAGGAAACAAUUAAAUAUAAAAUUUUUGAAGUUUUUGAUAUUUAAAACAAUUUUAUCUUAUAUAUAAAACGGGAAAAAUUAAACGUGCACUUUUGGUUUAAUUAAACAAAUGUAA